rnacentral:tRNA from 1 species
AUUUAUAUAGUUUAAAUAAAACAUUAUAUUUUCAUUAUAAAAAUAAUAAUUAUUAUUUAUAAAUA